UACGUAGGGGGCAAGCGUUGUCCGGAUUUAUUGGGCGUAAAGAGCGUGUAGGCGGCUAGGUAGGUCCGUUGUGAAAACUCGAGGCUCAACCUCGAGACGUCGAUGGAAACCAUCUAGCUAGAGUCCGGAAGAGGAGAGUGGAAUUCCUGGUGUAGCGGUGAAAUGCGCAGAUAUCAGGAAGAACACCCGUGGCGAAGGCGGCUCUCUGGUACGUGACUGACGCUGAGGCGCGAAAGGCGUGGGGAGUCAAACAG
rnacentral:rRNA from 1 species